AUUAGUAGGCUAAAUGUUAAUCUGUAAGUGAUACAGCAGUAUUGCGAUUGACGGUUCAACAAUAAUUAAAAUGCUACAACACUUUCACACCAGUAAAUAGUAAUUUAUCAAUAUUUAACUAAAUAUAAAUUAUAUUAUAAAAAUUAAGGGUAAAUUUCAAAUAUUAUUUCUAUGGUUUCACGCUUUCUUACUUUAGUACCCUUUAAUUUAAAGUGUAUCACUUUAUUACCCUAUAGUUUCAUUUUUUUUCUUUCUGUCAGCACUUUCAUUAACUCCCUAUUAAAUCACAUACAAAAACUUCAGAUACCCUAUCUAUGAUUUAUCGAAUAUUCACUUUAGUAUCGUGUGAUUUACCGAAUUUUUACUUUAAUGACUUGUGGUUUUAAUUUCAAUACUGAUUUAGCGAAAAAAAUUAACAGAGGAAAUGACAGAAAGAGAAAAAUGAAACCAUAGAUACUAAAGUGAUACCUUUUAAAUUAUAGGAGACUAGAAUGAUUAAGCGCGGAAUCAUAAGAGUGGUAUUUGAAAUGUUUUUAAAAAUUAAUUAUGAUAAUUUAUAAAGUUC
rnacentral:lncRNA from 1 species